rnacentral:tRNA from 1 species
GUGAAGCGUGGCUGGUGUCCGCCGCGGUCUUCAAAACCGUUGUUGGCCGGUUCCGCCGGCCAAGGUGGGUUCGAUUCCUACCCUCUC